AACUUCUGGGGAUGAACCAUUUUGGGGAUACAUC
rnacentral:rRNA from 1 species